CCUACGGGAGGCAGCAGUGAGGAAUAUUGGUCAAUGGGCGAGAGCCUGAACCAGCCAAGUCGCGUGAGGGAUGACGGUCCUAUGGGUUGUAAACUUCUUUUGUCAGGGAGCAAAUGAGUCCACGUGUGGGAUUAGCAAGAGUACCUGAAGAAAAACAAUCGGCUAACCCCGUGCCAGCAGCGGCGGUACUACGGGGGAUGCGAGCGUGAUCCGGAUUUAUUGGGUUUAAAGGGUGCGUAGGCGGGAUACAAAGUCAGCGGUAAAACUUCGGGGCUCAACCCCGUCGUGCCGUUGAAACUGAUGUUCUUGAGUGGGCGAGAAGUAUGCGGAAUGCGUGGUGUAGCGGUGAAAUGCAUAGAUAUCACGCAGAACUCCGAUUGCGAAGGCAGCAUACCGGCGCCCAACUGACGCUGAAGCACGAAAGCGUGGGUAUCGAACAGGAUUAGAUACCCCAGUAGUC
rnacentral:rRNA from 1 species